AAAAAAAAAAUACACAGUUAAUAAAGGUCCCAUUAGACAUGACAAAUAUUUGGUCAAACCCGCCCAACAAAUGAACAACAAAACGUAAAUCAUAGCAACCUUGGAUGAAUGUCGGGCUUCCAUGGCAAAUAUUUGGCAUGAUGACAAACAGUCUCUAUGGCACCUUUAAGCUGGUGAAUUUUCAUGACAAGUAGCACAAUGGAUACCCCUGCAUGUUUUAUGCUAUAGGGCACUGCAUGAAAUUCUCUCCUUCUCUUUUACUCUAACAGAAAUUUUGUUAACAACAAGGCCAAGAAACGUCAAAAUCCCAUACAUAAUCAAAACAAUGCAGUGCCCUAUACCUUUGAUUACAUCGACUAGAGACUGUAUAUAUAGAGACAUGCAAAGACGACUUUUUUAUUGUUGUUCUUCUUCUUCGCCAGACUUUGUUUUCAUAAUUUUGCUGGCGUGCUCGAUAGGUACAGUUCGAUAGGUAAAUUUGGUUUCACUCUUUGCGGGACUGUGUUAUAAACAGACUGUAACAUCGACCAGUUAAGUAAUUUGCCUACGGAGAUCAACACCACAGAUAUAAUAUUAUGCCUCUCAAGAAAAAUCAGAAUAUGGCGAUUAUCUGCCUCUGGCUUCUGAUAUUAGCGCGACAGUCACUAAUCAUAACAGCGUCACCAGAUUUAGAAGUAUAUAAUUCCACUAUAUGGGGUUUGACAGCAAGAACACUCAUUCCACUGAGCUACUCUUGCCGUUCGUCACAAAUACAUUCAAAAACAUCUGUCACUUCGCGAAACCCACGUGCUUUUGUUUUUGGCGGAAACACUUUUUCUUUUGUUUUGCCUUGCGACUGUCAUGCGGCGGUAUGCAUUGCGAGCGUACGACCGCCGCAGGACUCUAAUAAAAGAUAAGCGCGACAAUACCCCGCAUAGAAAUAAAAAACGCUUGACAUAAAGUCCAAACAGUAAAUUUGCCCUAGCUGAAAAGGUUAGUUUUUCUCAAAAACUUAUUUUAUUGUUGAACAGUGUAAAACCAGGAGCUGUUGCCUAUAAACAACAGUUUGGUCAAACCAUGUCUGACAGUAGCACUAUAUAGUACUCUCCACGCAUUGUUCAACAAUAUGGCGAUGUAAACUUCUUUAAUAUUGUGGCAAUAUGAGGUUACCCCAUAUCAAAAUGUUGGCCUUCAUAUUUGCACAACACACCAACACCAGUGCAAUUUACUAUAAUUCACUUCUAUUCGAUACUUUGGCAAACAGUUAAACGCUAUUGUGUUUGUGAUGUCGCUCACCUGAUGAAAAAAUAAACGCUUCUCAAGACACAACCUGCAAAAUCAACAACAUCGUUUGGUCAGUAACGUUCCCAGGGAGGCUUUUUUCACUGCGGUCGCAGUGAAACCCGGGGAUAAACAGCAGUCGAGCCCUGGGCAGGCAUAAACGAAAUCAUCGAGCUAGUUUUGAGGGCCGGAUGUACCGCAUACGUUGGCCAAACAGCUGCUGGAUAUGGCCGAAUCAGAUUCAGCGCAUGGUAAUUACCAGAUGGUGCAUUAUUUGAUUGGCUGUUGGAUUAGUACUAUCGCACCGUAGGCGGGACAUGAGCAUCGAAUGGAAACGAUUCGGAGGCAAAAAGGAUCAAGCGAAUGAUACAAUGAACGCCGGGAAUCAAGGAGGGAUCGAUCAACCCAGCUCCAGAGUUCGGAAGCUUUUCAUCCACACAGCUCGGAUAGAUGAUAUACGAGGUGG